GUCCGUAGGCGGCCUUAUAAGUCAGUGGUGAAAUCUCUCGGCUCAACCGGGAAAUGGCCAUUGAUACUGUAGGGCUUGAAUUAUUAGGAAGUAACUAGAAUAUGUAGUGUAGCGGUGAAAUGCUUAGAGAUUACAUGGAAUACCAAUUGCGAAGGCAGGUUACUACUAAUGGAUUGACGCUGAUGGACGAAAGCGUGGGUAGCGAACAGGAUUAGAUACCCUGGUAGUCCACGCCGUAAACGAUGGAUACUAGCUGUUGGGCGCAAGUUCAGUGGCUAAGCGAAAGUGAUAAGUAUCCCACCUGGGGAGUACGUUCGCAAGAAUGAAACUCAAAGGAAUUGACGGGGGCCCGCACAAGCGGUGGAGCAUGUGGUUUAAUUCGAUGAUACGCGAGGAACCUUACCAAGGCUUAAAUGUAGAUUGACCGUUUUGGAAACAGAACUUUCGCAAGACAAUUUACAAGGUGCUGCAUGGUUGUCGUCAGCUCGUGCCGUGAGGUGUCAGGUUAAGUCCUAUAACGAGCGCAACCCCUGUUGUUAGUUGCCAGCGAGUCAUGUCGGGAACUCUAACAAGACUGCCAGUGCAAACUGUGAGGAAGGUGGGGAUGACGUCAAAUCAUCACGGCCCUUACGCCUUGGGCUACACACGUGCUACAAUGGCCGGUACAGAGAGCAGCCAC
rnacentral:rRNA from 1 species